rnacentral:rRNA from 1 species
AGAGUUUGAUCCUGGCUCAGAUUGAACGCUGGCGGUAUGCUUAACACAUGCAAGUCGAACGGUGACAGCAGAAGCUUGCUUCUGGCUGACGAGUGGCGGACGGGUGAGUAACACGUAGGAAUCUGUCCAAAAGAGGGGGACAACCCGGGGAAACUCGGGCUAAUACCGCAUAAUCUUUAUGAAGCAAAGGGGGCCUCUACUUGUAAGCUCUCGCUUUUGGAUGAGCCUGCGUCGGAUUAGCUUGUUGGUGGGGUAAAGGCCUACCAAGGCUACGAUCCGUAGCUGGUCUGAGAGGAUGACCAGCCACACUGGGACUGAGACACGGCCCAGACUCCUACGGGAGGCAGCAGUGGGGAAUAUUGGACAAUGGGCGCAAGCCUGAUCCAGCAAUACCGCGUGUGUGAAGAAGGCCUGCGGGUUGUAAAGCACUUUCAGUAGGGAGGAAAGGCUUAAGGCUAAUACCCUUAAGANGGGGACG